CCUGGUGACUAUAGCGGCGGGGCACCACCCGAUCCCAUCCCGAACUCGGAAGUUAAGCCCGCCCGCGCCGAUGGUACUGCACGGGAGACUAGUGCGGGAGAGUAGGUCGUUGCCGGGA
rnacentral:rRNA from 1 species